AUUGAACGCUGGCGGCAUGCCUUACACAUGCAAGUCGAACGGCAGCACGGGUGCUUGCACCUGGUGGCGAGUGGCGAACGGGUGAGUAAUACAUCGGAACAUGUCCUGUAGUGGGGGAUAGCCCGGCGAAAGCCGGAUUAAUACCGCAUACGAUCUACGGAUGAAAGCGGGGGACCUUCGGGCCUCGCGCUAUAGGGUUGGCCGAUGGCUGAUUAGCUAGUUGGUGGGGUAAAGGCCUACCAAGGCGACGAUCAGUAGCUUGUCUGAGAGGACGACCAGCCACACUGGGACUGAGACACGGUCCAGACUCCUACGGGAGGCAGCAGUGGGGAAUUUUGGACAAUGGGCGAAAGCCUGAUCCAGCAAUGCCGCGUGUGUGAAGAAGGCCUUCGGGUUGUAAAGCACUUUUGUCCGGAAAGAAAUCCUUGGCCCUAAUACGGUCGGGGGAUGACGGUACCGGAAGAAUAAGCACCGGCUAACUACGUG
rnacentral:rRNA from 1 species